ACUGCUCAGUAACACGUAGUCAACAUGCCCAGGGGACGUGGAUAACCUCGGGAAACUGAGGAUAAACCGCGAUAGGUCAUAGUAUCUGGAAUGAUUUAUGGCUUAAAUCUAUAUGGCCUCUGGAUUGGACUGCGGCCGAUCAGGCUGUUGGUGAGGUAAUGGCCCACCAAACCUAAAACCGGUACGGGCUCUGAGAGGAGAAGCCCGGAGAUGGGCACUGAGACAAGGGCCCAGGCCCUAUGGGGCGCAGCAGGCGCGAAAACUCUGCAAUAAGCGAAAGCUUGACAGGGUUAUUCUGAGUGAUUUCCGCUAAGGAAAUCUUUUGGCACCUCUAAAAAUGGUGCAGAAUAAGGGGUGGGCAAGCCUGGUGUCAGCCGCCGCGGUAAUACCAGCACCCCGAGUGGUCGGGACGAUUAUUGGGCCUAAAGCAUCCGUAGCCGGUUCUACAAGUCUUCCGUUAAAUCCACCUGCUCAACAGAUGGGCUGCGGAGGAUACUAUAGAGCUAGGAGGCGGGAGAGGCAAGCGGUACUUAGUGGGUAGGGGUAAAAUCCGUUGAUCCAUUGAAGACCACCAGUGGCGAAGGCGGCUUGCCAGAACGCACUCGACGGUGAGGGAUGAAAGCUGGGGGAGCAAACCGGAUUAGAUACCCGGGUAGUCCCAGCUGUAAACGAUGCAGACUCGGUGAUGAAUAGGCUUCGUGCCUAUUCAGUGCCGCAGGGAAGCCGUUAAGUCUGCCGCCUGGGGGAGUACGGUCGCAAGACUGAAACUUAAAGGAAUUGGCGGGGGAGCA
rnacentral:rRNA from 1 species